rnacentral:rRNA from 1 species
CAUUAUUGAAUUCAUUGAAAGGGUUGUAGCUGUCCUCUUUCCAAAAGAGGUAUGUGCACACCUUGCCAUUCUUUACACCUGUGCACAUCUGUAGCUGAAGGACGAUUUUUACGCCCUUUGCUAUGUUCACAUAAUAAAUCUAUCAAUUUGGAAUGUUUGUGUAGCGUGUAACAGCGCGAAAUGCAAUACAACUUUCAGCAACGGAUCUCUUGGCUCUCGCAUCGAUGAAGAACGCAGCGAAAUGCGAUAAGUAAUGUGAAUUGCAGAAUUCAGUGAAUCAUCGAAUCUUUGAACGCACCUUGCGCUCCUUGGUAUUCCGAGGAGCAUGCCUGUUUGAGUGUCAUGAAAUUCUCAACUGUGCUUUGUUUUUUUCAAAGUGAAGUUGGAUUUGGUGUUAUUGUCGGCGUUGUUCGACUGCUCCUAAAAGCAUUUAAAAAAGCCUGCUCUUUUGUUGACGUGAUAAUUGGUCUACGUUGAAAAAGGGGAGUAGUGCUUGCUUUAUUAUGUGUACAAUUUGACCUCAAAUCAGGCAGGACUACCCGCUGAACUUAAGCAUAUCAAUAA